GACGAACGCUGGCGGCGUGCUUAACACAUGCAAGUCGAACGGUGAACCUCUUCGGAGGGGAUCAGUGGCGAACGGGUGAGUAACACGUGGGCAACCUGCCCCCGGCUCUGGGAUAACUCCAAGAAAUUGGGGCUAAUACCGGAUGUUCACCGCUUCCCGCAUGGGUGGUGGUGCAAAGGGUUUCCGGCUGGGGAUGGGCCCGCGGCCUAUCAGCUUGUUGGUGGGGUAGUGGCCUACCAAGGCGACGACGGGUAGCCGGCCUGAGAGGGUGACCGGCCACCCUGGGACUGAGAGACGGCCCAGACUGCUACGGGAGGCAGCAGUGGGGAAUAUUGCGCAAUGGGCGGAAGCCUGACGCAGCGACGCCGCGUGGGGGAUGACGGCCUUCGGGUUGUAAACCUCUUUCAGCAGGGACGAAGCGCAAGUGACGGUACCUGCAGAAGAAGCACCGGCCAACUACGCG
rnacentral:rRNA from 1 species